rnacentral:rRNA from 1 species
CCUACGGGAGGCAGCAGUGGGGAAUAUUGCACAAUGGGGGAAACCCUGAUGCAGCGACGCCGCGUGAGUGAAGAAGUAUUUCGGUAUGUAACGCUCUAUCAGCAGGGAAGAAAAUGACGGUACCUGAUUAAGAAGCCCCGGCUAACUACGUGCCAGCAGCCGCGGUAAUACGUAGGGGGCAAGCGUUAUCCGGAUUUACUGGGUGUAAAGGGAGCGUAGACGGCAGCACAAGUCUGGCGUGAAAUGCCUGGGCUUAACCCCGGAACUGCUUUGGAAACUGUGCAGCUAGAGUGCAGGAGAGGUAAGUGGAAUUCCUAGUGGAGCGGUGAAAUGCGUAGAUAUUAGGAGGAACACCAGUGGCGAAGGCGGCUUACUGGACUGUAACUGACGUUGAGGCUCGAAAGCGUGGGGAGCAAACAGGAUUAGAUACCCGAGUAGUC